UCUCAGCAUCCCUUUCACCGCCGCUUUCGAGGAGACAGUCUGCUUUUCGCAUUCCCGUGUCCAUCCAGCUAUUACGAUUGACUGACAGAUAACAAGCUAAAUGCCACGCUAUAUGUGAACUAAGCAAGCUAGCUAACGAAUUAGAUAUGGUUACGAGUAGAAUUGCUUCUUUUCAGCUACAGAAAAUAGAGCUAAAGUAGCAUCAUUGAAGUUGGUAUGCUGCGUUGCACUUCAUGGAAUCAAUAAAAAGCUGGCGAGUUUGACAGACUACCGCUGGAAGAAAGUGAAGACAACUAACGUUACUCAGUAAGGACCAACUAGCCGCCUGGCUCAGAACCACUCCUGCCUGACCCAGUCCACUCCUGCUUCUUGCCCCUCACUGUGCUGAGUAACACAGGGUCACAAACCAUAACAGGCUGGUAAAGUAAGUGAAAAAAGUUGUCAGUGAGUUUCAAGAUAGUAGGUAGCCAGCUAUGCAGCCUCAAAGACAAGAAUAGACACACAAAAAGGGCAUCCCCUUUCUUAUCUAGGCGCCCACAUCUAUCACUCUAGUAUUAAUGCUAAAUUGUAAUUAUUUCACCUCUGUGGCUUAUUUAUUGCCUUACCUCCCUGCUCUUCUACAUUUGCACACACUGUACAUAGAUUUUUCGAUUUUUCUUUUCUAUUGACUGUACGUUUGUUUAUGUGUAAUUCUGUGUUGUUUUUGUCGCAAUGCUUUGCUUUAUCUUGGCCAGGUUGCAGUUGUAAAUGAGGACUUGUUCUCGACUGGCCUACCUGGUUAAAUAAAGGUGAUAUCUACAUAUAUAUACUUUUUUUAAUACCGUACACUACUACGGUAUCUCAUUGGAUUAGUCUGUGUAUCUAAUCCCACAGGCCCGUCACCAGGUAUCAUCUCUCUAGCGUAUGAACAGGACCUGAUCAUUGCCACUCUGUAACGCAUCACCUGUGACCCGAUUGGACAGGACAGUCCUCGGGCUCAGGUUACCAUCAAGUAAAUACUUUAAAUGCGGAAAGGAGGACAGCUCCGUCGCCCCAGCCCUGUUAAAGUCUCGGUGUCUGUCUCUGACAUGAGGACGGCGCUCAGUGUUCCACUGACCUCCGUGAUGCUGAGUCGGGUCCUUGACCUCUCCAGCUUGACAACAGUGAUUAACAGUGAUUGUGUCGCACUGGCUUCACAAAGCUCCUGUGGCCUCCAGUGAGAUCUCCUUCACCUGAGAGAGUGAUAGAAGGAAAAGAGGUGGUUAGUUUAGCUACUGUCAAUGCUCAACGGUAUACUAUUGUGUCAACAGCUAUUCCAUACCAUUGAUGCUGUCUAGAAUUGGCAAGGAUGUAAGGUAACAUUUCUCAUAACUUCUAUACUAUUUGUUGAUCGAUAUAUUAUGUUCCACGCAUCACAUUGUUUUUAUUGACUAAAUAAUAAGAAGUGCAUUAAUCAAGCAUCUGGUUAGAAUAUGAUAUUGUGCCUUUGUGCUAGCUAAGUAAUCAGGGGAAUUAUUGCAUACUAUCCAAAAACUGAUCAAGACCCAAUUCUCGAUAACGAAUCUGAACACGUGCAAAGGUGAACAAGGCGACAGACACUGAGCUAUAUAUGCACGGCGACAGGCCACGCAGCCUCUGCCUUCUGCUAUUUGUACCUCUUGACAUGCCUCUGUAUCUGUUGAGGAUCUUAAACACUACGCUCUCACGUUGUCCUCUCUGCUCGAUCCCGUGCCAUUUUUAGUUUCCAGUAGCUGUAGAUUCCUUCACAAUGCCCUGUUUUCUUUCUGGCUUUGAGUUAUUUCCAAACGAAACACUGCAUAGUCGUCGUCUACGAGUUUACAGAUCUCUGCCACGGCUGCAUUCGCUAGCACCUCCAUGAUGGAGGCUAUUUGAGUGUGAAAAACCAUACAGAUAGCCACAUUAGCUCAAAUUAGCAGCUAGCUAGGGUUAUCCAGAUAACAUCUAUCAACCAAGUCCUGUCUCCAAUGCAAAUUAAAGACUACUGCAGUAAGUAUGUGAUGGUGUGCAGUUAAAUUUGGCAUAUUUUGAGUUCCAGGACUUUAAUGUCUAAAUAACAACAAUAAACACAAACGUGGAAAUUGUUCUACAAUAAAGAGACCUUAUCUUAUUGGUUGGCAUCAUAGCUGAACGGGUGAGCUUAAAUGAAAAAGGUAUGCAUGCUGCUCUUUGAAUUAUGGUACUGUUUAUUACAUUACACAUCAAAUCUCCCAAUGUCAGUAUCUAUCAAGUGGAGGGCAGACGUGUUUAGAAAGAACAGUGUGAAUACAGCAAGAAUACAGUAGAAAAUAUUAGAAUAACUUUAUUCCAUCUAUAUCACCUCAGUAAGGUAAAUAUUAAACUGUCCUUACAAGCCUGUUUCAAAUGACAAGUUAACAAAGGGUUAAUGAAGGGUAUGCGGUUAAUUAGCAUCUUACCCCAAAACACUUCACAACUAUAUGUCAACUUAAGAAUAGUUCCUGGAUAUCCCCUGUGUACAUCUCGAGCCACACUGCUACAAUUUCUCCCGGUUGUGGACACUCCUAUGUCUGAUAAGGUUAGUCAGGAAGGAGAAGGUCUUGUAACAUAGUUUGCACUUGAAGGGCUUGUCCUUGGUGUGAACGGCCUGGUGCUCCCUCAAAUAGUCUGCCCUAGCGAAGCGCUUCCCACAUGUGGGGCAGGUGUACGGCUUGUCGGCGUCCGUCCUAAUACAUGGCCUCCCACGUUGUGACCCAAUGACACCAGACGAGGCAGAAGCAGGAGCCACCACCCUCAGGUUGUUAGUCUUUAAGCUCCCUCCUUGACCUCUAGCCAUUGUUGUUUGGGUGUUGAUGUUGUGUCCUGUGUUAUAGGCUAAGUACCUCUUGUGAUGGAUGCCCAUCCUGACCCUGUCUGUAUUGGUGGGGUAACCAUGAGGUAAUUGAGGAAGGCUAGACCCAGGUCCAGGCCCUCUGUGAACCCAUUCGCCAGGCAUUAGACAAGAUCCUGAAGGAGAAGACAGACCUCCUGUUAGACUCCCACCAGGGGGGUCUCCCACCAAUCUCUGUGAAGGCUGAAGCCCAGGAUGACCUGCUCUGUUCAUCAUGGACACUGUGGUGUUUGUAUCAUAGGAACAGGAGGGUCUAUCUCUAUCAGCCCCAGGCCCUGCUUCAUCCCUGCACUGAGACUGUGAAGAGAAGGGUCUGGACUGCAGACUGGAUCCAUGACUGGAGCUUCUGUCUAUCUGAUGACCACCAGGACUGAGGUUGUUUAGUCCACCUGUCCACUGGUUGUGUUCUGUGUGGUGGUUGUGGUGGAGUCUCUGUCCCUCAUUGUUCGGUUCUGUUUCUGACUCGGAAUGGAAAAGUGACGGCUCCUGAUCCAGGGUCCUGAUCCGGAGCCAAGGUUUGUGACCAGCCGCCUCAGAGGUCCAGUCUCUCCCACCAGCAACACCGGAUAUCAGAAGGUCCUCGUGGACUGCAGACUGUAAACACAAAUUGUACAGAAGAGAAUAAAGGUUUAUAUAAGAAACUCUUUGCUGUACACACAAAACAUUACAUUAUAAAAUGUUAACCACAGUCAAGCCCAUCUCUAACACUGUGAUUCAUGUACCUAACAAUCUGGAGUCAUUGGUGUUUAUUUUUAUUUUUAAAUCCAAAUGUGUUGAUUCAAGAAUGAAGUAUGUUUUGGUUCGACUGGGAUAAGGGAAAUUCAGCCCUUGCAAUGAUACAAAAAGUCAGUACAGAGUAAAUGUAUUUCAUUUCAACAAAAUGGUCAUACACUCACAUAACGUGAAGAACAGUACUUUUAUUGCACAAAACGAUACGUGUGUCAGGCAGAAUAACUUCCAACUAUGGUAACACUAUAUCUUCUGUAAAUCUGAUACCCUCGCUUUGAUAAAAUGAAUUUUAGUAUACUUUGGAAAAGGUUGAACAUUACAUUACACACAGCUUGAUGUCAAGUAAACAUUAAGUUACUAUCAUUUCCUCAUUAUAAAACACCAGCAUCAAAGGUUGUCACUUUUCAUCAGUAAAGCAAUUUUACAGACACCAUCACACCACACCAAGGUUUCCUCAGUUCACCUCGUCCAGUUCUCUACUACAUACAAAUAUUUACAUGUGUCAUUAAUGUUAUGACGAUUGUUUUAUCAAAUCGAUUAACUAUGUUUAAUUAUUAUGAUGAUUAAAUUAAUCCUGUAACAAUUAACUCACAAGCAAUCAUGGGGCACCACGGAAAAAGUUUAUUUAACGAGUUACCGUUUUCCGAAUGAACUCUUAAAGAUAUACACUACCAUUCAAAAGUUUGGGGUCACUUAGAAAUGUCCUUGUUUUUGAAAGAAAAGCUACAUUUUUGUCCAUUAAAAUAAAUCAAAUUGAUCAGAAAUUGUAGUGUAGACAUUGUUAAUGUUGUUAAUGACUAUUGUAGCUGGAAACGGCAGAUUUUUUAUGGAAUAUCUACAUAAGUUUAUAAUUUUAAAAGGCUAAUUGAUCAUUAGAAAACACUUUUUCAAUUAUGUUAGCACAACUGAAAACUGUUGUCCUGAUUAAAGAAGCAAUAAAACUGGCCUACUUUAGGCUAGUUGAGUAUCUGGAGCAUCAGCAUUUGUGGGUUUGAUUACAGGCUCAAAAUUGCCAGAAACAAAGAACUUUCUUCUGAAACUCGUCAGUCUAUUCUUGUUCUGAGAAAUGAAGGUUAUUCCAUGCGAUAAAUUGCCAAGAAACUGAAGAUAUCGUACAACGCUGUGUACUAGUCCCUUCACAGAACAGCACAAACAGGCUCUAACCAGAAUAGAACGAGUGGGAGGCCCCGGUGCACAACUGAACAAGAGGACAAGUACAUUAGUGAAAAGGGAGGGGCAUGUAAAAAAAGAGCAGGAGAAAAGACAAAGGACUUCACUAUCGUACGUACAGCUGAUAACUAUGCUCAUGGAAAUGCUAAUACUUUGCAGAUGAAAGGCCGCUGACUCUAUUCCAACUAAACUACUGAAAGAGCUGCUUCCUGUGCCUUGCCCUCCUAUGUUGAACAUAAUAAACGCCUCCCUAUCCACCGAAUGUGAACCAAACUCACUAAAAGUGGCAGUAAUAAAGCCUCUCUUCAAAAAGCAAAA